AUACGGAGGAUCCGAGCGUUAUCCGGAUUUAUUGGGUUUAAAGGGUGCGCAGGCGGCCAUUUAAGUCAGCGGUUAAAUCGUGGGGCUCAACCCCAUUCUGCCGUUGAUACUGGGUGGCUUGAUUGCGGUCGAGGUUGGCGGAAUUCGUUGUGUAGCGGUGAAAUGCAUAGAUAUGACGAAGAACACCGAUUGCGUAGGCAGCUGACCAGACCGCAAAUGACGCUCAUGCACGAAAGUGCGGGGAUCGAACAGGAUUAGAUACCCUGGUAGUCCGCACAGUAAACGAUGAAUACUUGUUUUCGGCGAUAUAAUGUCGGAGGCAAAGCGAAAGCGAUAAGUAUUCCACCUGGGGAGUACGCCGACAACGGUGAAACUUAAAGGAAUUGGCGGGG
rnacentral:rRNA from 1 species